rnacentral:lncRNA from 1 species
AUGGAUCCCUCAGCUUGGUGGCAGAAAUCCUUCAUCUCACCAGCACGGAUUUUCUGGCUUCCACCAUUGGCCUUUGAGCCCUCCAGAACUUCUCUGGGGCUGGGAGAAUCAAUGGCAGUUGGAACCAGCAAGAAAAUCAAGGGAUACUGCUUCCAGAGUGACCUUCCACAGUCAACAGUUGUGGGCAGAAAAUGGAGCAGCCUUGUAUCAGUGAAGAAGAGUUUCUGUUUUAUGAACUAUCCAGUCAGCCACACUGGCCAGAGAAUAGAAUCCUCUGUCAGGCACUCAAGUCAGAAGCUCCCAGUGUGCUGCCGAGACUCCCAACCUGGCUUGGCCUCACUUGCUCUAUGACUGCUACUGAGUGUGGCUGGAUGGGAAGGUCCUGGGAGACUCUCAAUCCUCAAAAUGGUGAUUAUUCAAGGUCAAAUGGCCCACACUAGGAGCAAGUCUUGUGGUGGACGUAUAACUUCUGGUUAGAAGUGGACAGAACUAGCUUUGGCAGGAUCUGGGCCUCCCUGGAUCAGUUGGGGAAUCUUUGUUCCUGUAUGUGAACUCUCACUGGUACACAUUUGGUCCUUGGUAACCCUCUGGGCAGGGCUGAGACAUCUGCCAGGACUUAAGGAUCCUGUCUUGUCCCAGUGAAUUGACUUUACCAUGGCCAGCACUCUGGCUUUGCCAGCUCAGUCACCAUGCUUUUCAGGGAGCAGGAGAGUUGACGGGAGACUCAUGACACGUAUGUGAGGUUUCUGUGUGGGUAAAACUGAUAUGUUGGCUUCCCUGUUUUUUCUUUCAGCAGCAGACCAGGUAUUAUGAUUUAUAUCCUCAGUGUCUCCUAAAUGUCCCAUGAAUCUGAAAGUUGAUUGGUUUAUUAAUUCAUUGGUGAGUUCAGUGUCUGAAUGUGCUCUUAGGUGGUGGAAAUUUAUUGGAGAUGGGUAAGUUUUGCAGUUAAAAAUGGAAUGGAGGGCCGGGGAUUUAGCUCAGUGGUUCCACCACCUGCCUCACAGGCACAAGGUCCUGAGUUCAAUCCCCGGUUCAAGGCCAGCCUAACAACAUAGUUAAACCCUGUCUCAAAAAAAAAAAAAAAAAAGGAAUAGAGAAUUGAUUUACCUCUGAAGAAGCAAAAAAGUUUAUAAGUAAAUGACUAGUUUUGCAUUUCUCAUAAAUAUGCCUAAAGAUCCAUAGAAUUAUGAUGCAGGUCAGCAAACCACCUAUGGUUUCUUCCAGUGCAUCUCUCUGAUUUCAUCUAGUUUCCCCCAAGGUGGCCACAGGAUGGAUUUUCUGGAAGCUCUUUGGACCUUAACAAUUUCUUCAAGCAAAAAUGUUAAUUUGGUUUCAAUUCUUUGGAAUUUUGAGUAAAUUAAUAAUUGAGGUUAGUAUAUCAUUAUUAUUAUACUGAAAAGAUUAUUUGUGGUUUCUUUGCCUCAAAUGUUUGCCCAUAGGAUUNNNNNNNNNNNUGUUUCAGCCACUUCAUCAUUCCCUUAUACUGCCUCUGAGCUUGGGGUAUUGCAAGUUGGUUUUUUAAAAAAAAAUCUUUUUGAUGUGAUUAAACUAUUAUUAUUGAUUAUUUUCUUCAAAUGAUAAUGAAUUAGAAUUUUUGAUAAAAUAAGAAAAGUGCUGAUGUACAAAUGAUGAAAAUUCAAAAUAAAAAUUUUCAUAUGAAAUAUUCAUCUAAUAUUUUACAGAUGUGCCUUAUCGUUUUGCCAACAUGUGGAAUAGCUUUAUUUAUAUUUGUCCAUCUAAUAUAUUUUAUUAUAUUUUUGUAGUUUUAUCUUGUGCUUAUUACAUCUGGUGUAGAUCCUUUUUAAUUUAUGGGAUUUUAAUGUUUGUAAAAUUGUGUCACUGAGGGCUACAUAUGAUGUAAAGUUUAUAAUUUCCAAUCCAUUUGUUUAUAUCUGAUACAUAAUUACAUGGCAUAUUAUUAUAUAUUAAGCUAGGGAUAUACUCUAUGGUACAAUGUCUUAGUAAUUACAUUAGGUUUUUGUUAAUACCUUAAUUUUUCCAGCAUAUUCCAUGAUAUUAUAUGCAAGUAAAGACAAUUUUGUGUGUUCCAUCUAUUUCUUUUUUUUUUUUUUUUGGUACCAGGGAUCAAACUCAGGACCUUGUGCUUGUGAGGCAGGUGGCAGAACCACUGAGCUAAAUCCCUGGCCCCUCCACUUAUUUCUUUUUAGUCUUCUGCUUUGUCUGUAUCCACUGACAAGAUCUUACAAUUUUUGUUCUCUAGAUUUUAUUUAAUGGAUUACAUUAAUUAUUGAAUAAUGCCUUUGAUACUUUAAUAACUUAUUGUCUAUAAUUAUACAAAUAAUGAGCAAUAAAAUUUCCUAUUUGUUGAGUGAUUUUCAUUUUUAUGCUGCUACUGUUUCUCU